rnacentral:lncRNA from 1 species
AUAAACCAGCUUAAAUAUUUCAUUAAUAAAACUACGGCAGCUUGCUUUACAAUCAAAAUUAGCACAGCUCCGACAACAUCCCAACAACACAAUGCAUAAAAUCUGAUAAACUACCUAAUAUAUUACUACUACAUAGACUAGAAAACAAGACCUGCAGAAUGCAUGCUUGAUCAUUAAACAAGCACGAAACAGAUGAUUAAAUGAUCUUCUUCUGACCUUUUGCUGGCAAACCUCUACUAGACUACUACCACUUCCUUUGACAACCAGAUUUACUUAACCAUCAAUGCCGUCAUCAGCCUCCUCACCAGUCAAGUCUAUUUCUGCCGUCCAUUUCUAGUUGUUCUUGAAGCUCUUCAAAAGGCUGAAGCUGAAAUUCGGCAUCCCAUACUGGGCCAUGCACAGAGCCGCCCUAUUCCUGGAGGCGUUCACAGACACCAACUCACAGUCCCAUUUCGUGCCGUCAUCCUGCCUCAUCCCAUUGUAUGUUCUGCUCAUGUUGUUAAUCUGUCUGACCACCUCUCCCAACCCUUCUUCCUCAAUGAAAUCUCCAUCUUGAUCCAAGAGAAUCCCGUACGCAUGAAAUCUUGUGAUUCCUAGCAACAAUACCAAUACCAUUUCUAUUUCCAUUCUGCAACGGCUCAUCCAGUGUUGAUGCGCGGAUAUUAAUAAUGACUAUCUCAAUGUCAGUUCUGGCCAACCACCUCGCAGGGCAAUCCUAUUAAGCAAAUGAAGUUGUGAAAUAGUUGUUUACAACAUUUGUCUUCACCUCAUCACUGGUCAUACG